UGGGGAAUAUUGCACAAUGGGGGAAGACCCUGAUGCAGCGACGCCGCGUGAGCGAUGAAGUAUUUCGGUAUGUAAAGCUCUAUCAGCAGGGAAGAAAAUGACGGUACCUGACUAAGAAGCCCCGGCUAACUACGUGCCAGCAGCCGCGGUAAUACGUAGGGGCGAAGCGUUAUCCGGAUUUACUGGGUGUAAAGGGAGCGUAGACGGCGGUGCAAGCCAGAUGUGAAAGCCCGGGGCUCAACCCCGGAGCUGCGAUUUGGAACUGUAUAGCUGGAGUGUCGGAGAGGCAGGCGGAAUUCCUAGUGUAGCGGUGAAAUGCGUAGAUAUUAGGAGGAACACCAGUGGCGAAGGCGGCCUGCUGGACUGUAACUGACGUUGAGGCUCGAAAGCGUGGGGAGCAAACAGGAUUAGAUACCC
rnacentral:rRNA from 1 species